rnacentral:rRNA from 1 species
AGUGAACGCUGGCGGCAGGCCUAAUACAUGCAAGUCGAACGGCAGCACAGCAGAGCUUGCUCUGUGGGUGGCGAGUGGCGGACGGGUGAGGAAUACGUGGGAAUCUGCCCAGUCGUGGGGAUAACGUAGGGAAACUUACGCUAAUACCGCAUGCGCCCUUCGGGGGAAAGCCGGGGACCUUCGGGCCUGGCGCGAUUGGAUGAGCCCACGUCGGAUUAGCUAGUUGGCGGGGUAAAGCCCACCAAGGCGACGAUCCGUAGCUGGUCUGAGAGGAAGAUCAGCCACACUGGAACUGAGACACGGUCCAGACUCCUACGGGAGGCAGCAGUAGGGAAUAUUGGACAAUGGGCGCAAGCCUGAUCCAGCCAUGCCGCGUGAGUGAAGAAGGCCCUCGGGUUGUAAAGCUCUUUUGUCCGGAAAGAAAAGCGCCGGGUUAAUACCCUGGUGUCCUGACGGUACCGGAAGAAUAAGCACCGGCUAACUUCGUGCCAGCAGCCGCGGUAAU